UCUCCGUUUGUGAACCAGCGGAGGGAUCAUUGCUGGAACAAACGCCCUCACGGGUGCUACCCAGAAACCCUAUGUGAAUUAUACCUAUACCCGUUGCCUCGGCAUGGUUGGCUUCUUAGAAGUCCCUUUUACCCAAAAGGAGCAGACCUGCCGGUGGCCCUAUAAACUCUAUGUUUUUUGUACCACCACCGAGUAACAAACAAAAAAAAUGAAUCAAAACUUUCAACAACGGAUCUCUUGGUUCUGGCAUCGAUGAAGAACGCAGC
rnacentral:misc_RNA from 1 species